AAAAGGAAGUGAUUCCGGCGGAGGAUGGGCAUGCGGCGCAUUAGCUGGUUGGCGGGGUAACGGCCCACCAAGGCGACGAUGCGUAGGGGUUCUGAGAGGAAGGUCCCCCACACUGGUACUGAGACACGGACCAGACUCCUACGGGAGGCAGCAGUGAGGAAUAUUGGUCAAUGGGCGGGAGCCUGAACCAGCCAAGUCGCGUGAGGGAAGACGGUCCUAUGGAUUGUAAACCUCUUUAGGCGGGGAGCAAUGCCGGGCACGCGUGCCCGGAGGGAGAGUACCCGCAGAAUAAGCAUCGGCUAACUCCGUGCCAGCAGCCGCGGUAAUACGGAGGAUGCGAGCGUUAUCCGGAUUUAUUGGGUUUAAAGGGUGCGUAGGCGGAUUUUUAAGUCAGCGGUAAAAUGUCCGGGCUCAACCCGGGCCGGCCGUUGAAACUGGGGAUCUUGAGUGGGCGAGAAGUAUGCGGAAUGCGUGGUGUAGCGGUGAAAUGCAUAGAUAUCACGCAGAACUCCGAUUGCGAAGGCAGCAUACCGGCGCCCGACUGACGCUGAGGCACGAAAGCGUGGGGAUCGAACAGGAUUAGAUACCCUGGUAGUCCACGCAGUAAACGAUGAAUGCUAGUUGUCCGGUUCUU
rnacentral:rRNA from 1 species